rnacentral:rRNA from 1 species
AUCAUCAAAGCUUGCUUUGAUGGAUGGCGACCGGCGCACGGGUGAGUAACACGUAUCCAACCUGCCGACAACACUGGGAUAGCCUUUCGAAAGAAAGAUUAAUACCGGAUGGCAUAGUUUUUCCGCAUGGGAUAAUUAUUAAAGAAUUUCGGUUGUCGAUGGGGAUGCGUUCCAUUAGGCAGUUGGCGGGGUAACGGCCCACCAAACCAACGAUGGAUAGGGGUUCUGAGAGGAAGGUCCCCCACAUUGGAACUGAGACACGGUCCAAACUCCUACGGGAGGCAGCAGUGAGGAAUAUUGGUCAAUGGACGAGAGUCUGAACCAGCCAAGUAGCGUGAAGGAUGACUGCCCUAUGGGUUGUAAACUUCUUUUAUACGGGAAUAAAGUUAGCCACGUGUGGCUUUUUGUAUGUACCGUAUGAAUAAGGAUCGGCUAACUCCGUGCCAGCAGCCGCGGUAAUACGGAGGAUCCGAGCGUUAUCCGGAUUUAUUGGGUUUAAAGGGAGCGUAGGCGGGUUGUUAAGUCAGUUGUGAAAGUUUGCGGCUCAACCGUAAAAUUGCAGUUGAUACUGGCGACCUUGAGUGCAACAGAGGUAGGCAGAAUUCGUGGUGUAGCGGUGAAAUGCUUAGAUAUCACGAAGAACUCCGAUUGCGAAGGCAGCUUACUGGAUUG